UACGUAGGGCGCAAGCGUUAUCCGGAAUUAUUGGGCGUAAAGAGCUCGUAGGCGGUUUGUCGCGUCUGCCGUGAAAGUCCGGGGCUCAACUCCGGAUCUGCGGUGGGUACGGGCAGACUAGAGUGAUGUAGGGGAGACUGGAAUUCCUGGUGUAGCGGUGAAAUGCGCAGAUAUCAGGAGGAACACCAAUUGCGAAGGCAGCUCGCUGGGCCGAUACUGACGCUGAGGAGCGAAAGCGUGGGGAGCGAACAGG
rnacentral:rRNA from 1 species